AGAGAGAGAGACAGAGAGAAGGGGCAGUCAGGGGCCCGGCAAGUGGGGACGGGGGUCGCAUCUACCCACACCCCCAUGAGGUAACACUACAUCUGCUCAUGAAGGCCACACCCCGUCUCCCUCUCCGUGCACUCAUGGAAGAUGGGCUUUGGGGGUUUAGGUCCAGCGGCCCUCUUGGGGGCUCCUAGCACCCAACCUACCCAGGCUGGGCCUUCGCCAGGAGCUUGGGGUGACUCCCGUCCCUGCACCACCUGGGGGGUGGAACGGCCGCCAGGUGGCGCCAGCAGCCCUCCUUAGAGCCCGUCGGACCAGUCCGCCCCUCCCCCGGCCCCCGCUUCGGUCCCGCCCCUUCCCCACCCGCGCGGAAGACCCCUUCUGCCAGGCGGUCGCGCCCCACUUCCGGCCGCUCGGAGGUCGGAGGCGCUGGGCCCGCGCAGGACGAAAAGGGAAGGGCGGGGGGAGAUCUCAGGUGGGAAUGGAGAGGCCGUGGCUGGGGGCCAGGAGGAGCUGGUGGGGGGUCAGGAGGCGGGGAGGUGGGGGUCAGGAGCCGCCCGAGGCCCUGCGGGCGGGGAGGCGCUCACCCAGGUACUGGCCCUUGCCCUCGCGGAAGGGCGGCCCCACGGGUCCUUUGUGCAUGGGCUGCACGUACUUCACGGGCGCGUAGCCCGCGGCCCCGCCGGCCCCGCCUCCGGUGGCCGCCCUCGGCCCGCACCCCAGCAGCAGCAGCAGCAGCGAAGACAGGGGCGUCAGAGCCCCCCGCAUGGCGUCCGCGGGCGCGCUGCAGGGAGGAACCGAGAGGGGCCGUCAAGCCAGCCCCCGGGGGGCUUCGCACCGGGCCCAGGGGCUCCCCGAAAGAUCAGGACGGAGGUGUUAUUCACGAGCAACGCCCACGUGUCCGAGGCUGCGGGAGUCACCUGCUAAAGCUCCCGCAAGCCCGCGCAGCGCCCUCCGUCCUCGCCCAAGUCUCCCGGGGGCCCUCUCCCCUGGACGACAGCCUGCUCCACAGCGGCCGCUUGGCAGCCAGACGCCCUUCCAGCGCACCCAUCUGACCCCGGCGCACCCCUGCUAAGACCCUUGGAUGAGAGAGACACAGCGAGAGAGGGAACACAAGCAGGAAGAGUGGGAGAGGGAGAAGCAGGCUUCCCGCCAAGCAGGGAGCCCGAUGCGGGGCUCGAACCCAGGACCCUGGCAUCAUGACCUGAGCUGAAGGCAGAUGCUCAACGGCUGAGCCACCCAGGCGCCCCUCGAUGUUCUUUCAAUUUCCUACUCAUCCUUCAGGACGCUGGGACGCUGUCACCCCUUCCUCUCUAAAGUUGACUCCUCACCCCUUUGUGUCCCGAUCUAGCCCUGCCACAGCACGGAGCUCAGCUGUGAGAACAAGGCCUCGGUGGGGAAGAAGCACAAACUCUAGAGAUGGACACGCAGCCCGAGUGGUCCACUCUGGGAACCUGUUUCCUUAGGGGGUAAGAUGUCCCACACAACGCAGAUGUGCAUCCACGGAUGAAUGGACAGACUGUGGCGUAGCCACCCCGUGGGACAGGAUUCAGCGAGGCAAAGCAAUGAAGCGCUGCUUCGUGCUACGACACAGGAAAAUCCUGAAAACACCAUGCUAAGUGAAGCAGCCGGUCACAGAAUCAUAUAUGAUUCCAUUUAUAUGAAGUGUCCAGAAGAGGUAAACGUAAAGACACAGAAAGUGGACUAGUAGUUGCCUCGGGCUGGGAGGAAGGGGAAAAGGGAGCGAUCACAAAGCGGGCAGGGUUUCUGUUAGAGGUGAUGAAAACGUUCUCAAAUUGACUGUGAUGACGGCUGCCAACAUUAUUUUAAAAAAACUAUUAAAUCGGACACUUUAAAUGG